GGUAGUUUGGUCGACGUAGUGAAGACAUCCGGCUUAGAACCGGUGCAGAGAUGCAUGGUGGGUGCAAGUCCCACAACUACCA
rnacentral:tRNA from 1 species